AGAGUUUGAUCCUGGCUCAGAACGAACGCUGGCGGCAGGCUUAACACAUGCAAGUUGAACGGGAUUUGUAUGGUGCUUGCACCAUGUAAUGAGAGUAGCGCACUGGUGAGUAACACGUGGGAACAUACCUUGAAGUGGGGGACAACAGUUGGAAACGACUGCUAAUACCGCAUAAUCCCUGAGGGGGAAAGAUUUAUCGCUUUAAGAUUGGCCCGCGGAAGAUUAGGUAGUUGGUGGGGUAAAGGCCUACCAAGCCGACGAUCUAUAGCUGGUCUGAGAGGACGAACAGCCACAUUGGAACUGAGACACGGUCCAGACUCCUACGGGAGGCAGCAGUGAGGAAUAUUGGGCAAUGGAGGAAACUCUGACCCAGCCAUGCCGCGUGAGUGAAGAAGGUUUUCGAAUUGUAAAGCUCUUUCGGAUGGGACGAUGAUGACGGUACCAUCUAAAGAAGCCCCGGCAAACUUCGUGCCAGCAGCCGCGGUAAUACGAAGGGGGCAAGCGUUGUUCGGAAUUACUGGGCGUAAAGGGUGUGUAGGCGGAUUUGUAAGAUAGUGGUGAAAUACCUGAGCUCAACUUAGGAAUUGCCAUUAUAACUAUAGAUCUGGAGUGACAGAGAGGAUAUUGGAAUACCCAGUGUAGAGGUGAAAUUCGUAGAUAUUGGGUAGAACACCAGUGGCGAAGGCGAGUAUCUGGCUGUCAACUGACGCUGAGGCACGAAAGCAUGGGGAUCAAACAGGAUUAGAUACCCUGGUAGUCCAUGCUGUAAACGAUGAAUGCUAGUUGUCGGCGUAAGCCGGUGACGCAGUUAACGCGAUAAGCAUUCCGCCUGGGGAGUACGGUCGCAAGAUUAAAACUCAAAGGAAUUGACGGGGACCCGCACAAGCGGUGGAGCAUGUGGUUUAAUUCGA
rnacentral:rRNA from 1 species